rnacentral:lncRNA from 1 species
GGCCACUGAGCCAGGUGGCUUGUUUACCUUAGAAAUAUUUAGGUGACGCCUGGUGUGCCACACAGCUCUGCAAGGAGCUGGAGAGCCUGGCACUGUCCCUCAGACCACAGGAGACCCUAGGGUCUGGGUGCUUGCACAGGAGGAAGAUUUGUAUCUGGAUGAAUAACUGUGUGAACUGAUGGUUUCUUUUUUUUUUUUUUGUCUUUUUUUGAGACAGGUUCUGCAGUUCAGGCUGGACUUGAGCUCACUUUGUAGCCCAGGCUGGUCUCAAACUUGCAACGAUCCUCCUGCCUCAGCCUCCCGAGUGCUGGGAUUACAGGAGAGCGCCACCACGCCUGGGCUGAACUGAUGGUUUCAUGCCAACAGCGAGCUCAACUACUGUCCAACUAACACAGAGCACCUUCCUUGAGAGCUGGAAUGUGUGCUAGGUGGGCUCUGUGACCCUGGUCAUCGGUCCAUUUAGAGCCAUCGUCACCCUGCUAAGUCACUGUGAGCAUCGCAUGUCAGAGAUAAAGACACAAAGCGCAGGGAGGAGCUUGCACAGGCUCAGGUGGCUGGGAUUGGGAAGGACCCACCAGGGUCGCGAGUGACAGGGACCGAGCGGACAGGGGACCGGUUAAGCGACGGAGCCACGUUGGAAGGUGAAGGAGGAGGACGACCGCCAGGCCCAGCCUCCAGCACAGAGCCGGGAAGCAGCACCACAGCACCUGGACCUAAAGGGCCCUCAGCACACAUCCGUGAGCCAUGUGGUGAGCCAUGUCGGACGGUCCCAAACCCGUGGUUCCCACCAGCACGGGUUGAAAAUACCUGCAGAAGAGUUUGGGCCCAUCCCGAGCACCUACAGCCUUUUCGUCUCGUUAUUCCCUGGGAACUCAGGAUGACACUGUACAAGCCCCUGUGUCAUUUUGGGUGUUACAAGUGACAGAGGUGUCCUGAUGUACACAGGGGACGUGCAGGCAGAAGCGAACACUCUGCCACUGCGCGCAGGGACUGAGCGUCUGCAGGCUUGGGUGCUGGCGGGGUCACGGCCUCCACCCCCUUGGAAACCCAGAGAUGCUGGACGUAGAUUCACUCAUUAAACAGAUGGGUCCAGCACCUAUUUUCCCCAUGUCUAUGGUUUGUGUCUGGGUGUCCCCCCCAAAGACACAUGCAGUCAUGGGGCCAGCGUUUAGAGUUUAAGUGAGUGCUAUACCCUCCCUGGGGCUGACAGAUUGCAUAUGUAAGGGAGAGAAAGAGGCUGCCUGCCACCACUCCUCCCUUCUGCUCUUGUUGCUUUUGCUGUCUUCUGCCAUCAUGAAUGGUUGCCCCCUGCCAUGUGCCACCCUGCCUUGGAGCCAGCUGAGUAUGGACUGAAACCUCCACAGACUGUGAGCUAAAUAAACCUUUCCUUCCUUAAU